UCAAGUUCUGGGUUCCUCUCUCUCUCUCUUUCAAAUUUGAAUUUCAAAUUUUGGGUUUCUGUUGCAACGAGAGAGAGAGAGAGAGAGAGAGAGAGAGAGAGAGAGAGAGAGAUGCAUUCAGCUUUGCCAUCGCAAGGUCAGUUUUGCUAUCUAUUUCUCUAUUCUUCAAUUACUUUUGUUUCGGUUUCAAUCGUCUUUACAAUUUUUAGUUCAAUCGGUUCAUUUCGAUCUAGGUUUUUUUUUUGUUUUUGUUCUAAUUCAAUUUCAGAUGUAUACGUUGUGUUGGGUUUCGGAUUUUCCCUUUGAUUAUUAAUUCGUAGGGAUUCGACCCUUCGAUUUUUGCCUCAUUUAUUUAGUGGGUUUGAUUAAAGAUCCAAUUUUUAUGCAUGAAAUUCCGAAUUUCAAUUACUGUUGCUUCCUCUUUUAUUGGGGUUGAGGAACCAUUUUUGAGUUUGUGAAUUUCACGAUGACCCAGUCGGAAUUUGAGGGUUUUCAUCUUUAAUCAUUCCCAUAAUUUGUUGAGAGAGUUUGUUUUUCCAGAGCUGUGUGCUUUGAGAAGACUAGUCUUAAUUGGUCCCUCGGAAAGAUUGCCCUCGUGAGAUUUAAUGUUGGUCUCAAGUGAUUGUUGCCCAACUUGAGAACCAACAAAGCAAAUCAUUGGCUGCUUAUAUUGUUGCCUUGACGGUUUUCAAACUAAGAUUGUUGCCUUCCGAUUAUGUUAACUAUGAUUGUUGCCUUGUCCGAUUCUGUUAAUUACAUGUUGGUCAAGUGAUUGUUGCCCCACUUGAGAUUUCAACAAAGCAAAUCAUUGACUGCUCAAGUUGUUGCCUUUAUCGGGUUUUAACUUACAUUGUUGCCCUUUCCAAUAAUGUUAACUAAGAUUGUUGCCUUGUCCGAUUAUGUUAGUAAGCUUGUUGCCUUGUCGGAUUGUAUUAACAAGAUUGUUUCGAGUUAAGUGAUUUUUCCUGGCUUGAGGUGCCAAUAAAGAGUUUAUUGAGCUGGUAUUGGAAUAUGUAAUGUGGGAACCGAUAAAGAUGUCAGUGACAGAUUCAUUGAAUUGGUGCAAGAAAGUGUAUAUGCUGGAGAGUAUAUAUUGGUGUUGAAUUAAAAGAAAGGCAGCAUAUACACUUUCUUGGGGUCAUUGGCAUUUCAUUAAAAUUGGUGCAGGGAAGUUUAUAUGUUGGAGAACAUAUAUGUUAAUAAACUUGGCUACUGAAUAAAUAGAAAGGCAGAAAUGAUGAUCAUACUAUGUAGGAGAUUGAAUAUAUCUUCUGGUUAAGGUGGAUGCUCUACCUAUAAGAUCUUGUCCGGGUUGGUUAUUAAAAGGAAGAGGGGUAUCAAGAGUCUUACGUUGUACUUGCAAGAAUAGGAAAGCCAACUGGUAAGUCUUAUGAUACAUUAACUUUGAUACAGUCAGUCAAAUUACUACUAUUGUGGUUUCAAUCAUCUGCCAACCACAUGGUAGAUUCAAUUUAAUACAGUCAGUUACUACCAUUGUGGUUUCAAUCAUCUGCCAACCACUUUGUGAGUUUCUUUGCUCCUAUGACUGCUCAAAAGACUAGAAAUGUGGUACUAGCUUUUACUCAGUAUGCAGCAGAAUGUCAAAUUGACCGCUUUUGUUGUAUUGCAUCUGUUGCUUUAACGGUUUUUAAACUAAGAUUGUUGCCUUCCGAUUAUGUUGGUCUCAAGUGAUUGUUGCCCAACUUGAUAUUCCAACGAAGCAAGUCAUUGACUGCUUAAAUUCCUUUAUCGGUUUUUUAAUUAAGAUGGUUGCCUUAUCGGUUUUUAAUUAAGAUGGUUGCCUUAUCGGUUUUAAAUUAAGAUUGUUGCCUUGUCCAAUUAUGAUAGUAAGCUUGUUGCCUUGUUGGAUUGUAUUAAAAAAUUUGUUGCGAGUUAAGUGAUUUUUCCUGACUUGAGGUGCCAACAAAGAGUUUAUUAAGCUGGUAUUGGAAUAGGUAAUGUGGGAACAGAUAAAAAUAUCAGUGACAUAUUCAUUGAAUUGGUGCAAGAAAGUCUAUAGGCUGGAGAGUAUAUCUUGGCUACAGAUAUAAAAGAAAGACAGAUAUAUUCGUUUUUGGUUUAAUUUAAUUUCAGAUAUAAUCGUUGCUUUGGGUUCGGGAUUUGCCCUUUGAUUAUCAAUCAGUGGGGAUUAGAUCUGGGUUGGUUAUCAAAGGGAAAAGGGGUAUUAAGUUAUCUUGCAUUGUACUUCCAAGAAUUGGCUUUACUGGUAAGUCUUAUAUGAUAAAUUGACUUUGAUACAGUCAGUCACAUUACUACUAUUGUGCCUUCAAUCAUCUGCCAACCACUUUAUGAGUUUGUUUGCUCCUAAGACUACAAAAAAGACUAGAAAUGUGGUACUAGCUCUUACUCUAGUAUCUAGCAAGAUGCCAAAGUCUUUGCUUUCACCAAUAAAGAAACUUUUAUGGCAUCUGCUGGGCUGUGACCUAUAAAAUUGAAGGACUGGUUUAUACCAAAAUGUAGUAGCUACGAUUCGGAUAGAAAUGAUAUACCCUAUCAAAACCUACAGUAGCCCAUUGAUGCAAUGAGUCAUUUCAAGGGAAAUGUAUCUUAGUAUUAAUGUUGUCUCACUUGUCUGCCAUCUCUGAGGCUGAUGAGUUUAAAAUCGGUGAAAAUUGAGUGUCUCUUACUGCUUGGUGCACAAAUGUUUAUCUUGCUUUGUCCUCACUCUUCGGCUUUCUUUACUCUUUACACUUUUAAAUUGUCAAACAUAAAUAAUACUCAAAGGGAGAACUGCAUCUGAUUCUAGCUGAGUAUAUGUUGCUUUGUGUAAUGGAUAUCAUCUCUUCUAUGUAUGCUGACAUGCAUAUGGAAAUACCAAAUUUGACACUGACAAGGACGAAAGCCAUUGCAAUGAUGUGUCUAUUUUGAAUGGAUAAUAGUCUUGAUUGGUCAUUUGGAAAGGUUUCCCUGAGUAACGCAUUCUGCAAACAUGUUGAUCUCAAGUUUCCUUUUCGGUUUAAAUUAUUUUGUUGCCACUCAAGUGACUUUGUGCAGCUUGAGGGGUACACACAGAACAAAUUGAGCCAGAAUUUCAUUGAAAAUUUGAGCUGCAUACCUUGAAAGAAAACACCAUUGAAGCCCCUGCAAGCAACUCAACGUUGAAGCUUAGUCAGCUGGACUGAUGGGGAUAUGUUGGGUUCCUCUCUCUCUCUCUCUCUCUCUCUCUCUCUCCCCCUUAUUCAAUUUUGAAUUUCAAAGUUUGGGUUGCCUUUGCCAACACAGAGAGAUUUAUUGGUUUAGCUUCGCCUUAGCUUCACCACCACUAGGGUUUUUGAUCUAUUAUAUUCAGACCCUUCGAUCUUGCCUCUCUUAAAUUAACUGGGCACUAUGACAGACAGUUUUAUGCAUGAAAAUCACAAUUCAAACACUGGCGCUCCCUCUUUUUUUGGGGUUGAGGAACCAUUUUUGACUGUGUUUCAUGCUGUCCCGGCCGAAAUUUGUUGUCACAUAGCUGUGAGCUUUUAAACACUAGUCCCAAUUGGUCCCUCGGAAAGACUGCCUUAUGAGAUUUACGUGUUCGUCUUAACUGAUUGUUGCCUAACUUGAGAUUCCAACAAAACAAAUCAGGGACUGCUCAAAUUGUUGCCUUAGCGAUAUUUCAAGUAAGAUUGUAGCCCUGUCCAAUUAUAUAUGUUGAACAAAUUGUUGCCUUGUCGGAUCUUAUUAAUCAGAUUGUUACUAUUCAAGUGAUUUGCCUGGCUUGAGGUGUCAACAAAGAACUUAGAUUCUUCCCUUUGAAAUAGGUGAUUUGGGAACGGAUAAAGAUUUAAAUGACAUAUUCUUGAAUUGGUCAAAGGAAGUCUAUAUGCUGGAGAUAUCUAUUAGUUAACUUGGCAACAUAAUAAAAAGAAGACAGAAUUCAGGAUCCUAUUAUGUAGGAGGUUCAAUACUUCAUCUGGUUUAGGUGGAUGUUCGACCUAUCAGAUGUUGUCUAGGUUGGUUAUCAAAGGGAAGAGGGUAUUUAGAGAUCUUCCAUUGAACUUGCAAUAAAUGGAAAGCCAAUUGGUAAGUCUUUUGGUGGAUUGACUUUGAUACAGUCAGUCACAUUACUACAAUUGUGGUUUCAAUCAUCUGCUCAUUACUCUGAGUUUGUUUGCUCCUAUGACUGAACAAAAAACUAAAAAUUUGAGCUGUUACUUUAGUAUCCAGCAAAAUGCCAAAUUGAGUGUUAUCACCAAUAAAGAAACUUGUAUUGCAUUUUCUGGGCUGUGACCUAUUACAUUGAAUGACUGGUUUAUACCAACAUGUAGUAGUUAUAAUUCGGUUAUAGAUGAAGUAUCCUAUCAAGCCUACAGUAUCCCAUCGAUGUAAUGAGUAUUAUAGUAGUUCUGUCAAGGGAAAUGCCAAAUUUGGUACUGAGGGGGAUGAAAGUCAUUGCAAGGAUGUGUCUAUUUCAAUGGAUGGUAUAGUCUUGAUUGGUCAUUUUGAAAGUUUUUCCUGAGGUUUAAAGCAUUCUGCAGACUUGUUGAUCUCUAGUGAUUUUGCGUAUCUUGAGGUUCUAACAAAACAAGUGGUUGACUGCUCAAAUUGUUGCCUUAUUGGUGUUUUAACUAUGAUUAUUGUUGCCUUGUCCAAUUAUGUUAAGAUUGUUGCCUUGUCGGACUGUGAUAAGAUUGUCCAAGUGAUUUUUCUUGGCUUGAAUUGGUGCAAUUGAGAUCAUAUCAUCUAUGUAAUGCUAAAUAUGCAUCUAAAAAAAAACCAAAUUCAGAACUGACGUGGACGAAAGACAUUGUAAGGAUGUCUCUAAUCCAAAGUGAUAACUGGUCUCGAUUGGUCAUAUGAAAAAUGUUUCCCUGAGACUAAAAGUAUCCUGCAAACAUGUUGAUCUCAAGUGAUUUUGCUCAACAUGAGGUUCCAACAAACCAGUCAUUGACUGCGCAGAUUGGUGCCUUCUUGGUUUAUGUUAGUAAAAUUGUUGGUAUUUUGAUCCUUUGACAUACCGACGUUAUUUCAAUCUCGCCAAUUGAUUCCAGUUUACAGUCUGUGACUUUUAAUUUUGCGUUGUUUGCUACUCAUUGUAUUCUAUGCUAGCCGCUGUAAUAAUUUUACAAGUUCUCUUUAGUAAUUUCAUGAUACUAUUCCAGAUUCACAUCAUUGCCCUUGGUGUACGUCUAGUCGGCGACUUCGGUAAGCUGCUCUCUUACUAAUAAACUUUGGUGAUGGUAUCAUUUCUAGGGCUGGUAGAUUUGAUGGCAUUAAGAAGUGGGUUAUAGAAAUGCUGUGACUUUUAUGUUAUAGGACUAUUGAUGUAGACAAAAUUCACAUUGACUGACAUUGUCCUGUGGUGUUGUUUAACUUAAUGCUCUCAUUGUGGUUGAUUUAUCCCCCUUGAUUUUUAUACUUUGUACUUAGCCUUCUGAUUGUGGUCAAUAGUAUCUUAUAUUAGAACAACACAUCAACUUUAAUAACUUGAAUAAAAUGUUCGCAGGUUCUUUCUUCUAUAUCUUUCCUGGUUGUUUUUUCUUGUGGUGUUGAUAUCUUUGCAAAUGAAGCCAAAGGAACUGUCCUAAUUCUUACUGGUUGCUUCGGACUGUUGAUAGUAUAUAAGAUGACCGUGAAAGGGCAAUUUAUAACGGAGUACACACGUACAAGGCAUUGUGGAAGAAUAGCUCAUAUUGUCCUUGGAGAUGCGGCUACUGAAUUGAAUUAGCUAGAAGGGCGAAGGAAUUCUUCUUGAAGGAAAUAUGGUAAAUCGUCUCUUCCUGGAACUCGUGUGUGUGUGUAUAUAUAUAUAUAUAUAUAUAUAUAUAUAUAUAUAUAUAUAAUGGUUAUCAGGUGUGGACAUCCGCGCAACUACAGCGCGGAUAGUAUCGGUUCUGCUCCCCUCUCCCGGCGCUACUAUCUAAGCUAGCCAAAGCUCCAGUGCUGGCCUACAACAGCCGGAAUCUGUAAAAUUUCAGAAAUUUCACUGAAACUUGCAGAUUCUAGAAUUUACAAAUUCCGGCCGUCCUGGGCCGGCGCAAUUAAUUGAGGGACAUUGGGACAAGAAUCCUUCACAGAUAGAAAUCAUCAAGGUUCCCUUAUACUGCUAAAAAUAAUGUCGAAGAUAAUAUAGAUUAUUAGAUAUACUCAGCCGAGUUACAGCUUCGGUUGUGAAAAUGCAUCCUUUUGAAGUUGCAAGAUAAGCCGAUUAGUGCAACUUUUAAUUUAAACUAAGUUAUUUUUGGUUAAAAGACACAUUCCGGUUGGAAUGUAAGUGAUAUCCUUUUCUAAAAAAUUCCAAAAUUUCUGUUUGUUACAAAGUAAAUGUGGCAAGGUUGCCAAUUGAUCCCUUAAUACUAAAAGUACUAAACUGAGGGAAUCCGUUAUUAUAAAGCAGUGAGUCUGAAGGGAGUAGUGCCAAUUGGUCUGUUGGAAAGGUUGCCUUUGAUAUUAUAAGCAUUUCAGUGAUAAGUUGGUCUCAAGUGAUUUUGCUCAACUUGGAGUUUCCAAUGGACUAGUCCUGACUUGCUCCAUAUGCUGCCUUGUCGGAUUAUGUUUAUUACUUUGUUGCAUUUUCAGAUUGUGUUAACAAGAUAAUUGGCACUCAAGUGAAAAUCCAAGAUACUUGCAAAGCCCUAAACCUAAAUUCUCUUUUGGUAUAACUCUAAACUCUAAGACAAGUCCGGGUUGGAAUUUGAGUGAUUUCCUUUAUUUAUCAGUUCCACAACUUCUUAUUGGUACAAAUUAACAAUUGUAGCGAGAUAGCCAAUUGAAACCCUAGCUUUUGAAGUUAAGGGUACUCACUUAAAAUAAUUUAUCUCUAUUCCUAUAAAGCGAGCAUGAGAGUACCACCAACUUAUAAACUGAAAGAUUUAUUUUUCUGCCAUCAGUUUCUUAUAAACAAACAUAAGGGUUGUAAGGUAAAAGUCAAAAUAAAAAAAGAACUUAAAAGAGAUAAUUGUGGAAACGAAGCAUGGGUAGUGUGUAGAGAGUAAUUAUGAUCAAAAUUAACUUCCAUGAAAAUAUUCAUGGGUAAAAGCUAGUUAUUUUAAAGCUCUUGAUAUUUAAUGCAUGUUUAGCAGUAAAGUUGGUCUCGAGUGAUCUUUCCCCAACUUGAGGUUCUAAUGGACUGGUGAGUGAUUGCUCAGAUUAUUGCCUUGUCGG